GAUGAACGCUGGCGGCGUGCCUAAUACAUGCAAGUAGAACGCUGAAGCUUGGUGCUUGCACCGAGCGGAUGAGUUGCGAACGGGUGAGUAACGCGUAGGUAACCUGCCUCUUAGCGGGGGAUAACUAUUGGAAACGAUAGCUAAUACCGCAUAAAAGACGAUAUCGCAUGAUAUUGAUUUGAAAGGUGCAAAUGCAUCACUAAGAGAUGGACCUGCGUUGUAUUAGCUAGUUGGUGAGGUAACGGCUCACCAAGGCAACGAUACAUAGCCGACCUGAGAGGGUGAUCGGCCACACUGGGACUGAGACACGGCCCAGACUCCUACGGGAGGCAGCAGUAGGGAAUCUUCGGCAAUGGGGGCAACCCUGACCGAGCAACGCCGCGUGAGUGAAGAAGGUUUUCGGAUCGUAAAGCUCUGUUGUAAGAGAAGAACGAGUGUGAGAGUGGAAAGUUCACACUGUGACGGUAACUACCA
rnacentral:rRNA from 1 species